CUUAAUUCAAGGCUCAAAAUUCCUUUUAAUGUAGCGUAAAAGCUGCCAACCCAUUUUUCCCAUCGCGCCCCGACUCGUUUUGUUUUCCCCUUUUUCUCCUCAUGCUAGAGAAGCCCAGACGCAGCGCACAAAAAAAUGGAAGAGGAAAAUUUGUCUUUUUCCUCGCUGAAAGUCUAGGAGAGUGGAAUUUAGAAACCUAAAAUGCUUACAAGACGCGUGAAUCGCUCGAGCGAGUGUAACGGGAGGUGAAAAGGGAAGACCAGUACACUGUGCUUGUUUUUUUUUGACCCGUCCCUGCUCAUUUCGUACGAGUUCGAACAGUAGCGGGUUCACGCGCAUCGCCCCUUCUUUCACCAUGCCAUUUCAAAAAUAAAGUUGAAACUUGACGAAAAGUUUUUCUAUCCGUUUUGGUGAAGGUUUUGGGGGUGUUUUUGAAAUUGGAAGUGAGUUCCUGGAUUUCCAUUGAUAUUUCUCCCUGAUAUAUAUAUUUCUUUCAUUCACUAUGGGUGGGAUCUGGGGUGAGAAAAGAAAAUUUCGGUGAAAAAAUUGUUUUGCGAUUUUGACGCUUUUACCCAGUUAGAAAACACAAAGACAACUUCAAAAAAAAGGGACACAAAAAGAUACAUCUCAAAGAAGAAGAGAGAACAGCUUUAUCGUCCGUCUCUAAACUUCCAUCUCGAUUUUAUUUGUGUCGUGGGUUCAAGUUUCGUUGUUGGUGGUAGAAUUGUUGUUCGGAAGUUCGUUGUCGUCCCAUUUAACCGCACCUAAAGAGAGACUCUCUCUUCGCAUUUCCAAAGGGGCCAUGAAGGCCCUAAAAUAAUCUUAUCGAGUCAGCCGAUUAGAAAUUUUGAAGAAUAAAUUAAGAAAACCGACGAACAGGUCCCAAAAUUGAAGAAUACGUGCAAACCAAGGAGUUAGAGAUUUUGAACCAAGAUCCAAAAAAUUUAUUUCAAAUGUCGUAUUUUGUUAUUUUUGGGCCUAAGAUCUUUUUUGUAUUAUUAUUAUUAUAUUUUUUUAUAACUCUAGGACAGGUCGAAUGGGCCAAAGGCUUCCAAAACAAAAUGGGUCUAAAUACCUUUCCAGGCGGAUAGAAAUCGGAUUUGGACUCAACCCUC